ensembl:snoRNA
GCAUGGCCGAAUACUGUGUUUUUUUAUCCGUAAUCUACACAGCCAGACACCAUGCCAUAGUAUCAUUUCCCUUUAACGUACUUCCGGUGUGCUGUGUCUUCUUCGUGGCAUAUCAUCUGUAAAGGUGAACACAGAG